rnacentral:rRNA from 1 species
AAUAGAUAUCCCGGUAGUCCACGCCGUAAACGAUGAGUGCUAAGUGUUAGAGGGUUUCCGCCCUUUAGUGCUGCAGCUAACGCAUUAAGCACUCCGCCUGGGGAGUACGGCCGCAAGGCUGAAACUCAAAGGAAUUGACGGGGGCCCGCACAAGCGGUGGAGCAUGUGGUUUAAUUCGAAGCAACGCGAAGAACCUUACCAGGUCUUGACAUCCUCUGCCAACCCUAGAGAUAGGGCGUUCCCCUUCGGGGGACAGAGUGACAGGUGGUGCAUGGUUGUCGUCAGCUCGUGUCGUGAGAUGUUGGGUUAAGUCCCGCAACGAGCGCAACCCUUGAUCUUAGUUGCCAGCAUUCAGUUGGGCACUCUAAGGUGACUGCCGGUGACAAACCGGAGGAAGGUGGGGAUGACGUCAAAUCAUCAUGCCCCUUAUGACCUGGGCUACACACGUGCUACAAUGGAUGGUACAAAGAGCAGCGAACCCGCGAGGGUAAGCCAAUCUCAUAAAGCCAUUCUCAGUUCGGAUUGU